ACCAGUUUUAUCACUGCAAUGUUCUUGGUAAAUAUAAAAUUAUGCUUUGUUAAGUUCUUUAUUCAUAUGCGUGACUAUGUGUCAUUUUAUUAAGACUUGGGCAUUGUUUGUGAUUUUGACAUAUCAGCUUGGGUGUUUUAUUUGUCCCUUAAUUUAUUGAUUUUGUUAUUAAAUAUUAUUAAAUAUUUACAAUUCGGUUGUUAUCUUAUUAUCGUUUACAUUUUCAUCUUGUAUUUCCUUAAUAUUUUGAGUCUUUAGUUAAACUGGAAUUAGUUGAAUUUCAUAGAGUUGAUUAGUUCCUUUUGUUUUACCCUCUUUGCUUUAUUGUCUUUCUCCCAUCACGUUUACUACUGUCUGUGUUUUCCUAUUUGUUGGUGGCGGUGAAUUUUUUAUUUAUUUAUUUUUUAAACCAAUGUCUGGUGAUAAAGUGGUUUUUUUAAAAUUAAUUUCUCUUUUUUGGGGGGGGUUGACAGUGCUACCACUUAAUUUGCUGUUUUCUUUGCCACAGGUCCAUAUUUUCAGUUAUUUUGUUUAAUAAAAUUAUGUAAAUUGAUUUGCCAUGCCUCUGCCUUUGUUAAUAAUGAGCCUGUGUGCCUUUGCAAGUAGUAAAACCUUUGCGCUGGUUUAUGGCAGUUCAUGAGAUUUUAGAUUUUUUUAUUCUUUAUUUCUAGACACCAAUUCCUGUUGUUUGUCCAUUUGAAAAACAAAAAAUCUAUUUCUUCAAAUUAGAGCCCGACUGAAAAACCAAUGGGAGGUGAAAUGUUUUGGGGUUUUCUUUGUGAUUUGUUUUGUUUUCAAAUGUAUAAGAAAUCCUUAUAACCUGUAUUAAAACAUGUCUUGCAAAAGUUGCUUUCAAUAUGAUUUAUUAGCAGUACAGUUUUUUGAUUCAUAUCUGUGCAAAUGCCCAUUUCUGUAACACAUUUGCUGUGAUGACCUGUGUACGGUAAACAUAUGCAUAAAAAAUCAAAUAAAGACAGUGUUUAUUGUUUAUCUACUCACAUUAACUAAACAAAGCUGGGCCAUUUCAGACCAAUGCAAAAAAGUAAAAUC
ensembl:lncRNA